CUCCGCCCUCCACACCAUUCUUUAUGUUGGGAUGUAGGACAAGGGUUUUUCAUUUACUCAUGCUCUAGUAGGAAUCUCUACUGAUGAGAUUCAUCUUUGUGGAGAUGCAACUGCUAUUUCUCUUAUCUAGGUAAUACUGACAGUGACUAGUCAUGAGGUUGAGGUAAUGUGGAUCUCUCUGAUCUUCUUUCAAGCAUGGAUGAUCAAAUUGCAAAAGCAAAAGAGCAGACACUAAGCACGAAGGAUAUUUUGGACAAGGAAGAGAAGUGGAGAUAUGCAAUUGAGGAGGAGAAAUGGCUUGAAGAAUAUGAAAGGGUAAAAUGCAAAAAUUCAAUCAUUCUAUUAAAUGCCAAUCCAUUUUCUGUGGACUAAUGGAACCUUAUAGAACCUGCUUCUUCCACUUAUUCUGUUUUUAUUUUUGAACUAAAUUAAGCUAUUACACGUCUCCCAAAUAGAUAAAGUAAAUGCAAUUACAAAUGUUGU